GGCCGCGUGGCCUAAUGGUUAAGGGUAAGCUAUUCUCUAUGCCUGGAACUCAUGUACUUUGGCUAAUUAAACAUUAGCGUUGGUUUUCGGAUUUGGCAAUUGUUGUCGAUGUGAAAAACACCAAAGAUUGGGAGUUCGAAUCUUCCCGCGGUCG